CUGCAUGGCCCAAUGGACAUCCACAAUAACCUUGUGGCUAAUACACGCAAGCAGAUGUCUGCCACAUCAUGUGGGGUUAGCUCUGCUGGCCUCACAGUGGUGGACUGCACACAGCUCCUGAAAGACCAGUGUCAUUCCAAUGACAGUGUUGACUUGGUGAAUCAGGCUGUUCCAAAGGGACAUAGCACUGGCAGCUAAGAAGCCUGUUUACAGGCAUGCUUGAUCACAUGAACUUCUGACCUAUCAGCUUUGACUGUGGUGCAGUGGACCACAGUGGCCUUGACGGGUAACGGAGAAUCAGGGUUCGAUUCCGGAGAGGGAGCCUGAGAGACGGCUACCACUACCAAGGUGGGCAGCAGGCGCGCAAAUUGCCCAAUACAAAACCAGUUUGUGAGGCAGCAACGAACUGCAGCAAUCAUGCCCACUCUAGUGGGUUUGACUUGGAAUGGAUGCUAUCCAAACACAGCCAUGAGCAACAAGUGGAGGGCAAGUCUGGUGCCAGCAGCUGCGGUAAUUCCAGCUCCACAGGCGUAUACUAACAUUGCUGCUGUUAAAACACUCGUAGUCUGCCACAGGGAUUCAGGUCUGGCAGAUGGCUGGCUGGUGGUGACUUGUCACUGCUGGCUGGGUAAAACCUCUGUCAGUAUGUUCCUGAUCCCACUCCUGGAUGCUGAAAUGCUCCUGCAUGAAGCCCUCUUCAGUGAGGGUCAAAGCUAUCUUGCAGCCAACGCAUGUCUGGGCAAUCAAGGGCAGGCCUUGUGCCUUUGCUACCACAGCCUUGGCCCAUAUUCGGAGUUCAGCAUCAGAGCAACCCUGGUAAACUCAGUGUGCUUCAAGCAACCUUCAAUGGCUUGCAUGCCAUCCAGUGAAUUGCAAAGCAUCGAUCGAGCUUGGCUGAGAGUUGUGCUGGCCUUGGUGCCAACUUCGAGCAAUGUGGGAUGCAUCCCUGGCUGGGUGCUUGCCUUCGGGCUUGCGUCCCUGUCCAGGUGGUGUGUCACCAAACGGACAUGAUGGAAGUGUUCAGAGUGGAAGGUAUUGCAACGCCAGAGGUGAAAUUCUUAGACCGCUGCAAGACCAACUGCAGCGAAGGCGUUCUGCAAGAGCACGUUCGUCGAUCAAGAAUGAGAGUGUGGGGAGCAAAGAUGAUUAGACACCGUCGUAGUCCACUACAGUAAACUAUGCCAGCAAGGCUUUGGUGAAGCAAGAUCAUGUACUCCAUCAGUGCCAUGCCCCCUACAAAGAGAAAUCCACAGCCUGUGGGUUCAGGGGGGAGUACUGUCGCAAGGCAGAAACUUAAAGGAAUUGACGGAAUGGCACCACAAGGCGUGGAAUAUGCGGCUUAAUUUGACUCAACACGGGGAAUGUUACCAGGUCAGGACACUGUCAGGAUGGACAGAUUGAGAGCUCUUUCUUGAUCCAGUGGAUGGUGGUGCAUGGCCGCUCCUGAUCGGUGGAGUGAUUUGUCUGGUUGAUUCCGAUAACGGGUGAGAUAUCUGCCUUCCAAUAGCCCCAGUCACGCAUCUGUAGGGAUGCCUUCAGGUGAAGCUUCUGUGGAUCCUGUUGGUGCCUGAGUGACAUGGGUUCAGCUUCUCUGAGGUGCUGUGUCAGCCACCAAUGGCACGCAUGCUAGAGCCAACAGCAGGUCUGUGAUGCUCCCAGAUGUCCUGGGCCGCACGCGCAUUACAUUGACACAGUGAAGGUGUUAAGCUUCCUUGUGAAGCCCA
rnacentral:rRNA from 1 species